rnacentral:rRNA from 1 species
UGCAGAAAUAUAUUGGUGUAUAUAUAUAUUACCUGUAACACCUAUAGAGACCAGUCUAUAUUGAAAGACUAGGUAUAGAGUAAGGUAGGGGAGGAUGCUGACGUUACCCUACUAACAUAGUCCUAUCUAAAUUUUGUGCCAGCAGAUGCGGUUAUACAAAUAGGGCAAAUAUUAGAUGGUAUAAUAGGUAUUAAGGGUCUGUAGGUGGUUACUAUUUAUUGUAUUGCCUGACUAGUCUAAUGUAUAUAUAUAUUUUUAUAUUAUGUGGCAGUCACUAUUGGUAUAUAUUCUGAAAUAUUGACUAUUGGUAUAUAUUCUGUAAUAGUCCAAAUGUAAUAUACUAAUACAUAUAAGACAGGUUAGUCCCUAGUAUAUUAUUAUUACAAGACAGUAAUAGGCAACUAUGUCUAAUAGUAAAUAUAUAUAAUAUUUUUAUAUAUAGUAAGACCUAUUGUACUGUUUAUAAUAGUAUAUUAGGUAAUAGGACAAAACAAUACAAUACAAUAAGGGACUAGAGUCUAAUAGAGGGUGGUAGAAUACUAGGUAUAGGGCUGACAUUCACUGACACCUAGUAGAAUACUAAUGGCGCAGGCAGCCACCUAGGUAUAGACUGACACUGAGGGGCGAGAGCAUAGGUAGCGAACUGAAUUAGAUACUCAGUUAGUCUAUGCUGUAAACUAUCUAUACUAUUUCACUAGUUAGCCUACCCUUUGGAAAUAUUCUAUUUUGAUAUUUUUAUUUUUACUAGGUACUAGGCCUAUAAUUAGUGAAACAGCUAAUUGCUGUAAGUAUAGCACCUUGUUAGUACAGGCACUAGCCAGAAAGCAAAAGAAUUAGACCAUUUUAGGGACCCGGAGUGGAGCACAUUGUUUAAUUCGACAAUACACGUAGUACCUUACCCCUCCUUGCAUAGUCUAUUAUAUUUACUAUUUUUUACUAAGAUAUUAGGUACUAACCUUACAUUAUUUUUUUUUACUAGUAUAACUAGUACAAUAUAUUUUUUUUAUAAUAUAUAUAUAUAUUCUGUAACGAGUAUUCUAGGUGUUAGUAUAGUAAAAUAGUAAAAUAACUAAUAGAAUUACAGGUGUUGCAUGGCCAUCUACAGUCCAUAUUGCCAGAUGUUUGGUUAAUUCCAUUAAUGGACGCAGUCCUUACCUAUAGUAACUAGUGUAUUUUUAGGAAUAUGUAUAUAAUAUGUAUUAAUAGGUCUAAGAUAGGUCCUUAUGACCCUUAUGGAGUGGGGCCACAGAUGUGCUACUAUGGCCAAACAAUGUGUAGCAAUUCAGUAAGGAGUAGCUAACCAAUAAAUAUGGCCGAAAAGGACUGGGGUCUGUAACUCGGCCCCACUAAUUCGGAAUUCCGACUAAUCGCUGAACAGUAUGUAGCGGUGAAAUAUACCACCUAAAAGGUACUAAUUGUCCGUCGCGCCUCGCCCAUUGUGUAACAUGCAACAGAGAGACAUAGACAUUUCUAGAAAAUAUUACCACU